rnacentral:rRNA from 1 species
AACGAACGCUGGCGGCAGGCUUAACACAUGCAAGUCGAACGGUUGUAGCAAUACAGCAGUGGCAGACGGGUGAGUAACACGUGGGAACCUUCCUAGGGGUACGGAACAACUCAGGGAAACUUGAGCUAAUACCGUAUACGUCCGUGAGGAGAAAGAUUUAUCGCCCCUAGACGGGCCCGCGUAGGAUUAGGUAGUUGGUG